rnacentral:lncRNA from 1 species
CGCCCAUAGAUUCCUAUACAUUAUUGUUAAUUAAUAAAUCUACUUACUUUUUCCACAAUUUGUUGCAGCCUACUCACGUUCUCAUAAAACUAAUAGGGAAAAUCCUAUUCAUCCAUAACCAAUCAUCCUUGUACCAUUAGGUUAUAGAAAAAUCAUUAACUAAUGCAAUUACUUACUCACUUGAAGCCGCAGUCGGCACUCCUCCA